UACGUAGGGGGCUAGCGUUGUCCGGAAUCAUUGGGCGUAAAGAGCGUGUAGGCGGCCCGGUAAGUCCGUUGUAAAAGUCAAAGGCUCAACCUUUGAAUGUCAGUGGAUACUGCCGGGCUAGAGUCCGGAAGAGGCGAGUGGAACUCCUGGUGUAGCGGUGGAAUGCGCAGAUAUCAGGAAGAACACCAACGGCGAAGGCAGCUCGCUAGGACGUACUGACGCUGAGACGCGAAAGCGUGGGGAGCGAACAGGG
rnacentral:rRNA from 1 species